rnacentral:rRNA from 1 species
UACGUAGGGUGCAAGCGUUGUCCGGAAUUAUUGGGCGUAAAGAGCUCGUAGGCGGUCUGUCGCGUCGGCUGUGAAAACUCGGGGCUCAACCCCGAGCCUGCAGUCGAUACGGGCAGACUAGAGUGCUGUAGGGGAGACUGGAAUUCCCGGUGUAGUGGUGAUAUGCGUAGAUAUCGGGAGGAACACCAGUGGCGAAGGCGGCUUUCUGGGCCUUACCUGACGCUGAGACGCGAAAGCGUGGGGAGCGAACCGG